GUUGUAUGGUUAAGUGACUAAGCGUACACGGUGGAUGCCUUGGCAGUCAGAGGCGAUGAAAGACGUAGUAACUUGCGAUAAGCCCAGAUUAGGUAGUAACAACCAUUUGAGUCUGGGAUUUCUGAAUGGGGAAACCCACGUGCAUAAGCACGUAUCCUUACCUGAAUACAUAGGGUAAGGAGGCGAACCGGGGGAACUGAAACAUCUAAGUACCCCGAGGAAAAGAAAUCAACCGAGAUUCCGAAAGUAGCGGCGAGCGAAAUUGGACUAGCCCUUAAGCUUUACACGCGUUAGACGAACGGUCUGGAAAGUCCGACGAUACAGGGUGAUAGUCCCGUAGUUGACGACGUGUGUUCAGUGAAAUCGAGUAGGGCGGGACACGUGAUAUCCUGUCUGAAUAUGGGGGGACCAUCCUCCAAGGCUAAAUACUACUGACUGACCGAUAGUGAACCAGUACCGUGAGGGAAAGGCGAAAAGAACCCCUGUGAGGGGAGUGAAAUAGAACCUGAAACCGUGUACGUACAAGCAGUAGGAGCACCUUCGUGGUGUGACUGCGUACCUUUUGUAUAAUGGGUCAGCGACUUAUAUUCAGUGGCAAGGUUAACCAUCUAGGGGAGCCGUAGGGAAACCGAGUCUUAACUGGGCGUUCAGUCUCUGGAUAUAGACCCGAAACCAGGUGAUCUAGCCAUGGGCAGGUUGAAGGUUGAGUAACAUCAACUGGAGGACCGAACCGACUAAUGUUGAAAAAUUAGCGGAUGACUUGUGGCUAGGGGUGAAAGGCCAAUCAAACCUGGAGAUAGCUGGUUCUCCCCGAAAGCUAUUUAGGUAGCGCCUCGGACGAAUACUACUGGGGGUAGAGCACUGUUAAGGCUAGGGGGUCAUCCCGACUUACCAACCCUUUGCAAACUCCGAAUACCAGUAAGUACUAUCCGGGAGACACACGGCGGGUGCUAACGUCCGUCGUGGAGAGGGAAACAACCCAGACCGCCAGCUAAGGUCCCAAAUUACUACUAAGUGGGAAACGAUGUGGGAAGGCUCAGACAGCCAGGAUGUUGGCUUAGAAGCAGCCAUCAUUUAAAGAAAGCGUAAUAGCUCACUGGUCGAGUCGGCCUGCGCGGAAGAUGUAACGGGGCUAAGUAGUAAACCGAAGCUGCGGCAAUAUACUUUUGUAUAUUGGGUAGGGGAGCGUUCUGUAAGCGGUUGAAGGUGUGUGGUAACGCAUGCUGGACGUAUCAGAAGUGCGAAUGCUGACAUGAGUAACGAUAAAGGGGGUGAAAAACCUCCUCGCCGGAAGACCAAGGGUUCCUGUCCAACGUUAAUCGGGGCAGGGUAAGUCGACCCCUAAGGCGAGGCCGAAAGGCGUAGUCGAUGGGAAACGGGUUAAUAUUCCCGUACUUCUUACAAUUGCGAUGGGGGGACGGAGAAGGCUAGGUGGGCCUGGCGACGGUUGUCCAGGUUCAAGUGCGUAGGCUUAAGAGUUAGGUAAAUCCGGCUCUUUUUAAGGCUGAGACACGACGUCGAGCACCUACGGGUGUGAAGUCAUUGAUGCCAUGCUUCCAGGAAAAGCCUCUAAGCUUCAGAUUGUAAGGAAUCGUACCCCAAACCGACACAGGUGGUCGGGUAGAGAAUACCAAGGCGCUUGAGAGAACUCGGGUGAAGGAACUAGGCAAAAUGGUACCGUAA
rnacentral:rRNA from 1 species